CCCGGCGACUCCGCACCACUCUAGAAGCCAGGGGGAAAAAGCUCAGUCCCCUAGCGCCCCCUGGUGGCGAAUGGGAGAACAAGCCCGUCUUUCGAGGGCGGUGGCCCAAUCGCGGUGGCCGAACCGGGCAACAGGUGGCGCUAUUUUGCCGAAGGGAGAUACCGCUCGGGCGGCCCUGAAAUCAAUCAGCCAGCAACUGAAACAAGAAAUUGUGCAUCUCUGGAUUCUUCUAAUCAAAGUGAUGACUUCAUAUUAUGGUUGGCCUGAAACUGAUCUACAUAUUAAGAGGAGCCUUGGGACUACCAUUUUUCUCAGAGGAAGAAGCCAACCAAUUUUUGAGUCUUAAGAGACAAACACCUUAUUUAGACUACUUGCAACUAACUAGCAGCCAGAGUACUCUGGGUGAACAGGUUAGUGAAGCCUGGACUACACUGAAAAACACAGGACAAUAUUACAUGGAUCUGGGAUAUUCUGUAUUCAGUACCGACACAGCCAGGGAUCAUAUUAAUUCUUACAUGGAUAUGUUGCAGCAUCCCAGAGCACAUUUGAAAAAGCAAAGAAGAAAACCUACAGAAAUCGGACAUUGAUCCUUAUUGUUCAGACUGCCCUUAAAGGCCAGCAUUUAUGGCAGCUUGAUGCUUCCUGGAAUAUUGGGGCUUGGAGCAAACAGUGUGAAACCAAACAGCAGUCUUUAUCCUGUUGACCUUCAUUGACCUUCACUGUCAGUUUUCUCCUCAUCAUCACCUUCUGUGUUGCAUCUCCUCUAAAUUCAUCUGCUCUGGUCCCCUUGUUUCCCUUUCAGUAGCAGCAGGUACCAGAAAGGCAAAUUGGAACACUAAAAAGGGAUUUCUUUUCACAGUAGACUGAAUGAACUUGUCUGUCACAGCUCUGAUUGGUCACAAAGCACACUGUCUCACAACGAUUGUGACUGAUACCCGAAUUCUUUUUUAAAAAGUGCUGAGAACACCUGUUACUUUUCUAAAUCUGGAACUCUCUAGUUCUUUGUGGCAUAGAAAAUUACCACUUCCCCGCAGAAUUUCAUGAACAUUAUAUCAGGAUAAGAUGCCUGUCUUUAAGAUGGAGAAAUACUGUAUUCGUUGAACUGACACAAACGUCUUUGUUCUGCCUUGGAUUGAAUAAUACGAAGUAAAAAUGAAGUUCAUUAUUUGCUAAGUGGGUGAGUUGAGUAACUAAAAUGAUCUCAGGCUCUUCAUAGAUGCAAUUUAUUUGAAGAUUUCUUCAAACGACAGCAAAUAAACAGGAAAUGAGAUCCA
rnacentral:lncRNA from 1 species